rnacentral:lncRNA from 1 species
GUACCAGAGUGGUUAGGGGAAUUAACCUCUCUCAAGCGUUUUGUGAUAGGGCGCUGCCAGGGGAUCAGGUCUUUGCCCGACAGCAUACAAGUGACAAAGCUUGAAUAUUUACAAAUUGGCGACGAAUGCCCUACAUUGGUGAAGUGGUGUAAAUCAGAGAAGAACAAGAUGAAGCUCGCUCACAUCAAAAAAGUGGUAUGCGCUUGCCGAGCUAGAUGUUGUUUAUUGCUUUUAUUCUCUCACUGACAUUAUGUGAAUACUCUUUCUUUAUCUACAAACACAUAUACUCUAGCUAAUCAUGCCAAGUGGCGAAUACAAAAAGUAUUUUUUUAUAUGAUGCCUAAUGUGUCAAGAUUACCGAGUAAAAAGUAAAAUAUGCAACGCUUGCACUAAUCAUUGUCUUUAAGUAGAAAAUAAUUCUGGUUGUAGUUGUACUAUAACAUGGACAGUGCUAUACAUGUUGUGUUGUUCUGAUUAUACUGUUUCUGUUGUUCAGAACUUCCUAUU